GACGAACGCUGGCGGCGUGCUUAACACAUGCAAGUCGAACGGAAAGGCCCUGCUUUUGUGGGGUCCUCUAGUUGCGAACGGGUGAGUAACACGUGAGUAACCUGCCCUUGACUUUGGGAUAUCUUCAUGAAACUUGGUCUAAUACCGGAUAGGAGCUCCUGCUUCUUGGUGGGGGUUGGUAAGUUUCGGCGGUUGGGGAUGGACUCGCGUCUUAUCAGCUUGUUGCGGGGGUAGUGUCUUACCAAGGCUUUGACGGGUAGCCGGCCUGAGAGGGUGACCGGCAAAGUUGGGAUUGGAAUGAGGCCCAGACUACUCCGGGAGGGAGCAGAGGGGAAGAGUGCACAAGGGGAGGAAGGAAGAUGUAGCAAAGCAGCGUGCGGGAUGACGGGCUUCGGGUUGUAAAGCGAUGUCGCCUGUGACGAAGCGAGAGUGACGGUAAUGGGUAAAGAAGCACCGGCUAACUACGUG
rnacentral:rRNA from 1 species